UCAUCAUUUCGCGUGCUCUCUCACCGGUCAGAGUGGCGAGAGAGAGUGUGAAAUGAAAAGA
rnacentral:pre_miRNA from 1 species